UGGGGAAUCUUGCGCCAAUGCGCGAAAGCGUGACGCAGCGACGCCGCGUGGGGGAUGAAGGCCCUCGGGUUGUAAACCCCUUUCGCCAGGGACGAAGCGAAAGUGACGGUACCUGGAGAAGAAGUCCCGGCUAACUACGUGCCAGCAGCCGCGGUAACACGUAGGGGACGAGCGUUGUCCGGAUUCAUUGGGCGUAAAGCGCGCGUAGGCGGUCGUGCAAGUCGGUUGUGAAAUCCCGGGGCUCAACCCCGGGACUGCGUCCGAUACUGUGCGACUGGAGGCAGGUAGGGGAGAUCGGAAUUCCUGGUGUAGCGGUGAAAUGCGCAGAUAUCAGGAGGAACACCGGUGGCGAAGGCGGAUCUCUGGGCCUUGCCUGACGCUGAGGCGCGAAAGCUAGGGGAGCGAACAGG
rnacentral:rRNA from 1 species